rnacentral:misc_RNA from 1 species
AACUUUCAGCAAUGGAUCACUUGGCUCUCGCAUCGAUGAAGAACGCAGCGAAAUGCGAUAAGUAAUGUGAAUUGCAGAAUGCAGUGAAUCAUCGAAUCUUUGAACGCAUCUUGCGCUUCUUGGUAUUCCAAGGAGCAUGCCUGUUUGAGUGUCAUUAAAGUUCUCACAACCACACACUUUGGUGGGUGGCUUUUGGAUUUGGGGGUUUGCUGGCUUCAAAGUCGGCUCCCCUGAAAUGCAUCAGUGGUGUCUGUGCAGGGACUACAGGUGUGAUAAAUAAAUCUAUGCCUUGUCUUUCACUGUGCUGCUUCUAAUGAAAUUUGGAUUGGGGUUGACAAAUUUGACCUCAAAUCAGGUAGGACUACCCGCUGAACUUAAGCAUAUCAAUAAGCGGAGGCU